CAUACGCUCUGAGGAGGAAAGCGGGGGACCUACGGGCCUCGCGUUAUCCGAGCGGCCAAUGACUGAUUAGCUAGUUGGCGGGGUAAAGGCCCACCAAGGCGACGAUCAGUAGCGGGUCUGAGAGGACGAUCCGCCACACUGGGACUGAGACACGGCCCAGACUCCUACGGGAGGCAGCAGUGGGGAAUUUUGGACAAUGGGGGCAACCCUGAUCCAGCCAUGCCGCGUGUCUGAAGAAGGGCUUCGGGUUGUAAAGGACUUUUGUUAGGGAAGAAAAGGAAAGUGUUAAUACCACUUUUUGCU
rnacentral:rRNA from 1 species